GGGCGGUUAGCUCAGUUGGUUAGAGCGCCUGCCUUACAAGCAGGAGGUCACUGGUUCGAAUCCAGUAUCGCCCACCA
rnacentral:tRNA from 3 species